AAGUAAUAAAUGUUUUCAGUAUUUAACUUAUUUUUACUUUAUUUAUCUUUUUCUAUAACUGUUUGAAGGAAUUAUGCUAAUAUAAGGUACUGCCAAUGUUGAUUGACACUUCAAAAAAUUUUCUUCCAUUUACAUGUCUUUUAAGAAAUGUUCAUAUUGUACUUUAUUUUAAAAAUUUAUAAAUAUGUUGUGCCUCGGGUUAAUUAUGGUUCUAGAUCCGCCACUGACUAUAUAUGUAUACUAUGAGAAAUCAUAUGUCGGGUAAUUAUACUUGGAACUAUGGUACCAUAUUAGAAGAUUAGAGAUAGAAUGAAAAAAAGAGUUGAAUUA
rnacentral:sRNA from 1 species